UAGAGUUUGAUCCUGGCUCAGAUUGAACGCUGGCGGCAUGCCUAACACAUGCAAGUCGAACGGCAGCGCGGGCUUCGGCCUGGCGGCGAGUGGCGGACGGGUGAGGAAUACAUAGGAAUCUGCCCAGUCGUGGGGGAUAACCCGGGGAAACCCGGACUAAUACCGCAUACGACGGUGACGUGAAAGCCGGGGACCUUCGGGCCUGGCGCGAUUGGAUGAGCCUAUGUCGGAUUAGCUUGUUGGCGGGGUAAAGGCCCACCAAGGCGACGAUCCGUAGCUGGUCUGAGAGGAUGAUCAGCCACACUGGGACUGAGACACGGCCCAGACUCCUACGGGAGGCAGCAGUGGGGAAUAUUGGACAAUGGGCGCAAGCCUGAUCCAGCAAUGCCGCGUGGGUGAAGAAGGCCUUCGGGUUGUAAAGCCCUUUUGUACGGGAAGAAAUCAUCCGGGUUAAUACCCUGGGUGGAUGACGGUACCGUAAGAAUAAGCACCGGCUAACUUCGUGCCAGCAGCCGCGGUAAUACGAAGGGUGCAAGCGUUAAUCGGAAUUACUGGGCGUAAAGCGUGCGUAGGUGGUUGUUCAAGUCUGUCGUGAAAGCCCUGGGCUCAACCUGGGAAUGGCGAUGGAAACUGGGCGACUGGAGUGCGGUAGAGGAUGGCGGAAUUCCCGGUGUAGCGGUGAAAUGCGUAGAGAUCGGGAGGAACAUCCGUGGCGAAAGCGGCCAUCUGGACCAGCACUGACACUGAGCACGAAAGCGUGGGGAGCAAACAGGAUUAGAUACCCUGUAGUCCACGCCCUAAACGAUGCGAACUGGAUGUUGGUCUCAACUUGGAGAUCAGUGUCGAAGCUAACGCGUUAAGUUCGCCGCCUGGGGGAGUACGGUCGCAAGACUGAAACUCAAAGGAAUUUGACGGGGGCCCGCCACAAG
rnacentral:rRNA from 1 species